rnacentral:rRNA from 1 species
GGGGAAUUUUGGACAAUGGGCGCAAGCCUGAUCCAGCCAUGCCGCGUGCGGGACGAAGGCCUUCGGGUUGUAAACCGCUUUCAGCCGGAAAGAAAUCGUCAAGGUUAAUAACCUUGAUGGAUGACGGUACCGGAAGAAGAAGCACCGGCUAACUACGUGCCAGCAGCCGCGGUAAUACGUAGGGUGCGAGCGUUAAUCGGAAUUACUGGGCGUAAAGCGUGCGCAGGCGGUUUUGUAAGCCAGACGUGAAAUCCCCGGGCUUAACCUGGGAACUGCGUUUGGAACUGCAAGACUAGAGUGUGUCAGAGGGAGGUGGAAUUCCACGUGUAGCAGUGAAAUGCGUAGAUAUGUGGAGGAACACCGAUGGCGAAGGCAGCCUCCUGGGAUAACACUGACGCUCAUGCACGAAAGCGUGGGGAGCAAAC